rnacentral:rRNA from 1 species
UGCGUAGGCGGUUUGGAAAGUCAGAUGUGAAAGCCUACAGCUUAACUGUAGAACUGCAUUUGAAACUUCCAGACUAGAGUACUGAAGGGGCAGAUGGAAUUAGUGGUGUAGGGGUAAAAUCCGUAGACAUCACUAGGAAUACCGAAAGCGAAAGCGAUCUGCUGGGAAGUUAUUGACGCUGAGGCACGAAAGCGUGGGGAGCAAACG